AAUCAACGCUGGCGGCGUGCCUCAGACAUGCAAGUCGAACGCGAAAGUCCCCUUCGGGGGACAAGUAGAGUGGCGCACGGGUGAGUAACACGUAGGUAAUCUACCUUCGGAUGGGGAAUAACAACCGGAAACGGUUGCUAAUACCGCAUAAUGCAGCGGCACCUAAUGGUGACAGUUGUUAAAGCGGGGGAUCGAAAGACCUCGCGUCUGAAGAGGAGCCUGCGGCGGAUUAGCUAGNGGUAAGGUAAUGGCUUACCAAGGCGACGAUCCGUAGCCGGCCUGAGAGGGCGGUCGGCCACACUGACACUGACAUACGGGUCAGACUCCUACGGGAGCAGCAGUCGGGAAUUUGGGCAAUGGGCGAAAGCCUGACCCAGCAACGCCGCGUGAAGGAUGAAAUCCC
rnacentral:rRNA from 1 species